GAUGAACGCUAGCGAUAGGCUUAACACAUGCAAGUCGAGGGGCAGCAUGGUCUUAGCUUGCUAAGACUGAUGGCGACCGGCGCACGGGUGCGUAACGCGUAUGCAACUUGCCUCACAGAGGGGGAUAACCCGUCGAAAGACGGACUAAUACCGCGUACACUCCAUCUUGGGCAUCCAAGGUAGAGGAAAUGAAAUUCGCUGUGAGAUAGGCAUGCGUCCCAUUAGCUAGUUGGUGAGGUAACGGCUCACCAAGGCGACGAUGGGUAGGGGAACUGAGAGGUUGAACCCCCACACUGGUACUGAGACACGGACCAGACUCCUACGGGAGGCAGCAGUGAGGAAUAUUGGUCAAUGGGCGGGAGCCUGAACCAGCCAAGUCGCGUGAAGGAUGACUGUCUUAUGGAUUGUAAACUUCUUUUAUACGGGAAUAACAAGAGUCACGUGUGACUCCCUGCAUGUACCGUAUGAAUAAGCAUCGGCUAACUCCGUG
rnacentral:rRNA from 1 species